CUGUCGCAGGAGAUGGUGACGCUGGGCGUGUGCAACGCGCUGGGCUCGCUGUUUUGCGCACUACCCACGUGCGCGCCUUUCACGUUCUAAUUUCCCAUUCUACCGCACGCUGUUAACGCCUUUUCGUAACUUAUGUGCAGGAUAAACUUUAUCUACAACCGGUGAGACAGAUUCGAAAAGCUUUAUUUUGAACGUCAAUUCAAUUUCUGUAUAUUUCAGGUAUCAUCACGUUGUUGGCACUGAACUACCUCACUCAGUAUUUCUUCUUCAUACCGAAGGCGUGUCUAUCGUCUGUUCUUAUAUGCGCUGUUAUAUUUAUGAUCGACGUGGGCGGGCUGCGGCGGCUGUGGCGGGCGCGGCGGCGCGAGGCGCUGGUGGCGCUGCUGACGGCGGCGGUGGGCGCGCUCGCCAGCGUGGAGGCCGCCGUGCUGAGCGGCGCGCUCGCCUCGCUGGCGGCGCUGCUGGCGGACCUGCUGCGCCUGCCGCCGCUGAG
rnacentral:misc_RNA from 1 species